GCACUGAUAUCCAAUAGAGCGAGGAUAGUUUGACACUCAAGUACAGGGAAACUAGGAAGCUGGGCGGGCACUGCGGAGCGAAUUUGGGCGAACACCGGGGCACCCCAGGAGAGCGAAACCGAUUUCUUUGUACUUUACUUACCAAGUGCUGUAAAUGUAUCAGAUACUGAGAAGCGAUCGCUCUAAACUUCCUAUCGAUCCUGUUUUGUCAUCGGCAAAAAUGCACGUUUAAGGCUAGAUGACGUCAAAUCAGCACGGCCCUUACGUCCGGGGCUACACACGUGUUACAAUGGGGGGUACAGAAGGCAGCUUGCCGGCGACGGCUGGCCAAUCCCUAAAUCCCUUCUCAGUUCGGACUGGAGUCUGCAACCCGACUCCACGAAGCUGGAUUCGCUAGUAAUCGCGCAUCAGCCAUGGCGCGGUGAAUACGUUCCCGGGCCUUGUACAGUCGACGCGGCCG
rnacentral:rRNA from 1 species